rnacentral:rRNA from 1 species
UACGUAGGGUGCGAGCGUUAAUCGGAAUUACUGGGCGUAAAGCGUGCGCAGGCGGUUUUGUAAGACAGAUGUGAAAUCCCCGGGCUGAACCUGGGAACUGCAUUUGUGACUGCAAAGCUAGAGUACGGCAGAGGGGGGUGGAAUUCCUCGUGUAGCAGUGAAAUGCGUAGAUAUGAGGAGGAACACCGAUGGCGAAGGCAAUCCCCUGGGCCUGUACUGACGCUCAUGCACGAAAGCGUGGGGAGCAAACAGG